GUGAGGAGGAAGUUUCAAGACAUUUAUCCCAAUGCCCAAUUUAUAGGUUACACACACCAACUGAAUUUGGUUAUGCAACAGGCCGUUUCCUCAAUUAGGCCAGUGCGUGGCUUUUUCUCCGACAUCAGCGGCUUUUCUUCUUUUUUUCACGUUCCCCAAAGAGAACUGCCACUUUGGACUGCAUUGUAGCAAGGAGGUAGCCACGGGCACCGCAGACACGCUGGAACUUUCAUAGUCGUGCAGUAAGUACAGUGUAUGAGAAUUAGGAUCUCUUGCUGGAAUGCUUUAAUACUAUUUGAGUAUCUCCAGAAUUUGAUGCAAUCUCAUUCAGAGACGCAAAGGGCUACUGCCGAAUGAUGGGGGACAAAGAAUUCCUUUUUUACCAUGAGCUGUUCCAUACCAUACUGUCCCGUGUAUAUACGCUAUUUGCACAGCUUAAGAGGAGUAACAUUGAUGUGGUGCAUACUCAAAGGAUCGUAGAACACGUUGUCAGCUUAAUUUCAAAAGUUAUUGGUUCAGGGCCUUCUAUUUGUGCGCAAUUCAGUCCUGACGCGCCUCGACGUGGUGGCGCUCCAAACUUGCAGUAAAUUGGGUAUGAAGUGUUUGACACUGUAAUUGCCAAUGCAAAGGAUAUAUUUACAUUUGCUGGACAAUUGGCUGCCGCUGUACUGUUUGACCGUGAGCGUUUUGCUGUAUACACAGAAGAGUUCCCCACAGCAGCUCUCUGAAAGGCAGUUGAUGCCUAUCCAAUGUUGAGCAAACCACUUCUGCAAACCCUGCAAAAAAAAUUAUUUGGAUAUUCUAUAGAAUUGUUAAGGCAUUGAAGCCUUUUUUUUUUCAGCAGGUAUUUAAAUUGUAUACCUGAUUUCAUACCUGAUUUCAACAGAGUUGCUGUUGAGAAAUGUAAUUAGAAAUACCUGAUUUCAACAGAGUUGUUUUUGAGAAUUUUUUUUAAAUACCUGAUUUUAAUAGAGUUGUUAUUGAGAAAUUUUCACACAUGAAAGAUCGUUAGGCAAAGUUCCUCUAUAAAUGAAGCUCUGAUAGCUUGCUUGAUGACUUCUCAUAAGCUAUAUUCAUUUGUUUGAUUUUGCCGAAUUGCGUUCUGUAUAGGCCUGGGCCAGGCGCGUGCCGUCCAUACGGGCAUGUAUUGGCUAAAGCUCCAUUGUUGUGAUCAGUAUAUAUCUCUAAACAUAUUCAGUCACUUAAAUUAGCUCAGUGCGCUCUCUCAUGAAACUCCUCUAUGUACUUAUUAAACAAGUGGUUGAAAAUGUGGUAACCCGAGGGCAAUAAUGCACGCACACUUGUAACUCAGAUUAACGUCUUUACUGAAACCAUGCUCACAGCAGAACAGCCAAAGUAUACGAGAGACAUUCAGGUGCAGAGCAAUCACUACAACAACACAGCGGGGUACACAGGUAUAAGCACAAAGGUUCCGGGGUGCAGGAUAUAAAUGAGUGCAACACUAAUUCAGUCUAUUACAGAUAUAUAAUUUCUGAUACAUAAAUAUCAGAAAUUCUAUGUUUUCUGAGUAGGUCCAUGAGAUUGAUGCACUUGGGUGGGUUUUACUCAACAUUGGCAAAUGUGAUGGGUAUGCAAUAAAAAAUAUUAUGGAAAUAAGAACUUGCUGGAUUUUGUGUCCUUGUUGUGAUGAUGCAGGUGUUUCUUUGUGUGUGUGUGUUGUAAAAAAGCCAAAACGUCAUUGAAUAUAUUGUGAAAAAAAUGACUGGAUUGGUUGAAAUAUUGAGUAGCACAAAAUGUUUUAUUUAAUUUAAAAAGUAAAGGAAAACAGAGCUCUGAAUUAUAUGUGUGUCAACUUUUUCCUAAUUUCAAGUCUUCCACACUCCCAGACUGCUUGGUCACAUCACAUAUUAAAGUGUUUUAAACAUCCAUCGCUAAAAAAGACUUCAAAAUGAGGUGCUAGGUAUUGAGAUUUUGCUCUCAGAGUGCCCCAGAUGAAUGUAUGUUCAAAACAUUUGUCCCCCCCCCAAUGUUGAUACCAUGGCUACACCCUUGGACGCAUUAUACAGGAUCUGAAAAACACAGAAUUCCUGGCAGUGCAGGCCGAUGAAAUGACUGAUGUUUGAACCCAUUGCCAAAUCGUUUAUGCGUCUAGUUAUAUAGACGAAGCCAACACAUUGCAGGAGAGAUUCUUUAGUUUUCAAACAAAUUGAUGGAGGCACGACCGCAGAGGCCAUCUCUAAUGUACUUCCGCAACAGUUGGGUGUCGUUUGUUCAGCGGAGAAUGAGGUGGACAGAGACAGACUGAUGGCACAUAUGAUGAAGCAAGUGUGAUGCGAGGAGAAACAGGUGGAGUGAGGAGGAAGUUUCAAGACAUUUAUCCCAAUGCCCAAUUUAUAGGUUACACACACCAACUGAAUUUGGUUAUGCAACAGGCCGUUUCCUCAAUUACGCCAGUGCGUGGCUUUUUCUCCGACAUCAGCGGCUUUUCUUCUUUUUUUCACGUUCCCCAAAGAGAACUGCCACUUUGGACUGCAUUGUAGCAAGGAGGUAGCCACGGGCACCGCAGACACGCUGGAACUUUCAUAGUCGUGCAAUCCUCCUUCAGAAACACACCUGGAGGGAGUGCUGGUUUUCCCUUGAGCAGGAGAAGAUGAUUCGGCGUCAGUGGCUCGAGGUCGUCCACAUCAUCAGAUGACUUGAUACCACCGUGGUGCGACCCGGCAGGCGGGUUGAAGAUUCAAGUGAGCCUCAGAGAUCUGGGACUGGUUCCAUUCUUUCAUCGCCCGGCGGAUCUCGUGUUCUGUAGCUACCAGGUUCGUUCCGUUAUCGGAUCUCAUAACCUCCACUUGUCUUCUUCUGGCUAUGAAACGUCUCACUGCUUUUAUACAAGAGUCGGUGUUGUUGGGAAAAAUAACCUGCUGAGUACAUCACAUGUACAUU